AGUUGGAAAUGGGGAAAAAGCAGAGGCAGUUGGCUGAUAAGGGGUGGAGGAAGGGGAGCUGUUUACAGGACAAGAGAGGAAAGAUGCUGGAAACAAACUCGAGAAUUAACUGGAAAAGGGCUCGUCCCAGUCUUCAGACACUUUAGACUGUUGUGUUCUCUUAUCUAAGGGUUUCCUGUGUGUCAGGCACUAGAAAGGUACCAACUGCCAAAGGGUGAAACAGGAAAAGUUGGUGCAGCUGGGUGGAAGAAAGCUUGGGAGACCCAGGGCUAAUCAGCGUCCCUGUGACUCUCACAGACGUGCACAGCAUCUCAGCUUGCAUAGAGAUCUGCUAAGCUGCAGGGCACAGUCCUUACUGCAUCGCCAGCACCUUGUACAUGGCGGAAGUUCAGUGUUCACUGAAGGAGUGUGCACGCUUCCUGUUGCUGCGACAUACUUCAGGAAGUAAGGGUUUACUGUGGCUCACGGUUCGAGGGUAGGGGCUAUCGAGUGGUGGGAGGAGCAUGAGGCAGCUCCUCCCACGUCGCUUCUGCAGUUAGGAAGCAAAGAGGAGUGAUUUCCUGUCUCUCAGACCGUUUUCUCCUUUUUAUUCAAUCUGGGACCCGAGCCAAUUAAACAAGUACCACUCACUAAGGCUGGGUUCUCCUUCUUCAAGUUAAACCUUUCUGGAAAUAGCCUCAUAGACAUGCCCAGAGGCUGUGAGACUCUGGAGGGAUCCCAUCGGCAAGCAAGACGAUGCCCCAAACACAGAUGCCCCAAGGACCUCCAACACUCUACAAUCAUGAAUUAAAGAAACGUUAAUUCUCCAAAACUCAUCUAACCUCUA